UACGUAGGGUGCAAGCGUUGUCCGGAAUUAUUGGGCGUAAAGAGCUCGUAGGCGGUCCGUCACGUCGGGCGUGAAAACCCAGGGCUCAACCCUGGGCCUGCGUUCGAUACGGGCGGACUAGAGUUCGGUAGGGGAGACUGGAAUUCCUGGUGUAGCGGUGAAAUGCGCAGAUAUCAGGAGGAACACCGGUGGCGAAGGCGGGUCUCUGGGCCGAUACUGACGCUGAGGAGCGAAAGCUAGGGGAGCAAACGGG
rnacentral:rRNA from 1 species